GACGAACGCUGGCGGCGUGCUUAACACAUGCAAGUCGAACGGAAAGGCCCUGCUUUUGUGGGGUGCUCGAGUGGCGAACGGGUGAGUAACACGUGAGUAACCUGCCCUUGACUUUGGGAUAACUUCAGGAAACUGGGGCUAAUACCGGAUAGGAGCUCCUGCUGCAUGGUGGUGGUUGGAAAGUUUCGGCGGUUGGGGAUGGACUCGCGGCUUAUCAGCUUGUUGGUGGGGUAGUGGCUUACCAAGGCUUUGACGGGUAGCCGGCCUGAGAGGGUGACCGGCGACAUUGGGACUGAGAUACGGCGCAGACGCCAACGGGAGGCAGCAGUGGGGAAUAUUGCACAAUGGGCGGAAGCCUGAUGCAGCAACGCCGCGUGCGGGAUGACGGCUUUCGGGUUGUAAACCGCUUUCGCCUGUGACGAAGCGUGAGUGACGGUAAUGGGUAAAGAAGCACCGGCUAACUACGUG
rnacentral:rRNA from 1 species